GUCAACUUCCAAUAAAAGCCACACUACCUCUUGUAGCACGUACAACAGCAACCGUAACUUCCUCACCACCAUCUACCACAAAUACCCCUGCAGCAACGACUACUACAGUUGCCUUAGUUAGUACGGCUAGCCGUUCAGGAAGGGUCGGGGAUGGAACUGCAUCUACAGCAAUGAUUUCAUCUGGCAACAUCACCAGUCUUGCAACAAUUAAUAUCACAAGUAGUCAUACCCUCACAACCACCACCACUAGUCCUGACCAAAACAGCACAAUUAGCAGCAUUACCACUCAUAUUCCUGAAGAACAUAACACUAGAAUUAGCAACAUUACCACUCAUAUUCCUGAAGAACAUAUCACUACAAUUAGCAACAUUGCCACUCAUAUUCCUGAAGAACAUAACACUACAAUUAGCAGCAUUACCACUCAUAUUCCUGAAGAACAUAUCACUACAAUUAGCAACAUUACCACUCAUAUUCCUGAAGACCAAAACACUACAAUUAGCAACAUUACCACUCAUAUUCCUGAAGAACAUAUCACUACAAUUAGCAACAUUACCAUUCAUAUUCCUGAAGAACAUAUCACUACAAUUAGCAACAUUACCACUCAUAUUCCUGAAGACCAAAACACUACAAUUAGCAACAUAACCACCCCUAUUCCUGGAGACCAUAACAUUACAAUUAGCAACAUAACCACCCCUGCUCCUGGGGACCCUAACAUAACAAUUAGCAACGUAAGCACCCAUAUUCCUGGAGACCACAACAUUACAAUUAGCAACAUAACCACCCCUAGUCCUGGGGACCCUAACAUAACAAUUAGCAACGUAAGCACCCAUAUUCCUGGAGACCACAACAAUACAAUUAGCAACACAACCACCCCUGCUCCUGAAGACCACAACAUUACAAUUAGCAACAUAACCAUCCCUAGUCCUGGGGACCCUAAUAUAACAAUUAGCAAUGUAAGCACCCAUAUUCCUGGAGACCACAACAAUACAAUUAGCAACACAACCACCCCUAUUACCCCUAAAAAUCCUCCCCAGACCAGUAGCACGACAGUCUUCCGUAAAACCUCUCCAUCAACAACUGCCUCAGGCCAAUCUAACCCCCCAGUUGCCCCUACUGAGAGAGCAACAAGCAGGCAUCAGGCUGCCACAGGCCAAACGACCAAUCAUAAGAACCCAGAGAAUACGGAGGCGACACAUAAGACCACAGAGAAUGCUGCAGCUGUAGUUGCUGGGGGCGGAGAGGGAGUCCCAAGAUGGGGGAUCGCUCUAUUGGUACUGGCUGUCCUGACCUUGUUAAUCCUCCUUAUUCUCCUAAUACUGCUGCUAGUGUGGUUGUGCUGUAGGCAGAGAUGUGGAAGUUUCAGCCCAUAUAACCAGAUCAACCACGGGGCAGACAUCCAAAUGUACUCCACACACAGCCGCUUCGACGUGCCUAACGGCAAGCCUAAUGUAAGUCCUAUGUCUUGGCAGAGAGGCCAGAUAGACACAGACUCAGAUUCUGCAUUCAGCAGGUUGGCUAUGGUUACUAAGACUGUCUACUCUGCCUCAGUGUUAGAUAGAUGUCUCUUUGUGCCCUUCUGAUUUUGACCAGGGAAACCUGAGGCGUGGGAAACACUAGCCUUCCCCUCUACCCUCUCAGCCGAACUACCCCUGUAGCUUCCAGGGAGGGUCCCAAGCCAUAUUCCUCCCCCCAUGCCACCUAUUUUCAUUGAUGCACCAAGUUGCUUAUCUCCGAAAUCAAACCCGCACAUAAGCAGAUGUUCUUGGUAGACCAGACAACCAAUUAAACACAAUCAUCUGUGAGCUGUGAGUUUAUAGCUUUAAUCCUACCUUGGGUACAUAUGAGGGAUGAUACCAGAGUUAUCAUCCAAGGACCUUCCUGUAUGGGGCAUGUUACUCAUCAAUAUCACUUUGAAUGACUGGCAACACCAUGAUUUGACAGAAAAAAGGUUGUGUUUAUUGUGGACAUAAAAAAUAUAUAUUCUCUAAUGAGCUUUGAAAGGGAUGCUAAAUACAAAUGCCAUGGGAUCUACCAACAUCAGGGAGAGUGAGAUCUCUCCCUUAACACCAAACAAAAAGACAAUUGACUGUACUAACGAGACUUGCAUGUUCAUCACACUGCAGUGCACACCUCAAGCACACACACACACACGAGAGUUUGUGAAGUGAGGAGGGAAUCUACUCAGGUUUUUUCUAGCGUUGAUAUGUAUGCAUCAUAGAUAUUUGUUUAGUUUUGGAAAUGUACAGUUUUAGUUAGCUUACACAUUGCUUAUAUUCAAUCUACUGUAUAAGGAUAUUGUUGCAUAUGUGUUUAUGCACUUCGUAAAAUUGUGUUACAUUUACAUAGAUAUUUGGUUUAAUUCUGUGUUGCUGCUAGCAGUGGUUUGAACAUGUUUGUUAUGUUGUUUUGUAAAGGGGACAGUGGAAGACAUUGGAGGACUAUUUGUUCACAGCCUCCAACUCUCCUUGAUCAAUUUAUUUAUCGUUCCGUACUUGUCUGCCAACAUUUGCUCCAAGACUGACUAGCAUAUAAUGAGAAGAGUGCCCCCUCUGUCACCUGUCUCUAUGGCAACAGAGCAGCAGACAGACACAUUGUAAUUCACAACCACUCUGUUCUCUUUACAUAACCUUCUCCUCCCAAAGCCCCUUUAAUUGAUGAAUCACCGGUUUGAUUUAUUGUUGCAAUUAAGCAGAGUGGAUGUCUUUCAGGCUUCGUUAACUAAGGCUUUAGAACAGACGAACAUCUGCAAGACAAGCUAACAUUACAGUUCUAUAGAACAGGUCAAAAACAGACUGCAAAAUGUAGUUUUGCCUGUAAAUUAUUGUGUGUGCAGUAUUAUCUUUACAGACUGUUUUACACCUUUGAUGAGUUGAUACUUUCUCUGAUACAGGACGAAAUGCGGGGACCAUCGAAAAACCGAACAGGGAUGCAUGUGGUGAACGAAUACUGACACACAG
rnacentral:lncRNA from 13 species